UACGGAGGGGGCAAGCGUUAAUCGGAAUUACUGGGCGUAAAGCGUGCGUAGGCGGCUUGGUAAGCCGGUUGUGAAAGCCCCGGGCUCAACCUGGGAAUGGCAUCCGGAACUGUCAGGCUAGAGUGCAGGAGAGGAAGGUAGAAUUCCCGGUGUAGCGGUGAAAUGCGUAAAGAUCGGGAGGAAUACCAGUGGCGAAGGCGGCCUUCUGGACUGACACUGACGCUGAGGUACGAAAGCGUGGGUAGCAAACAGG
rnacentral:rRNA from 1 species